rnacentral:rRNA from 1 species
CUACGGGUCGCACCAGUGAGGAAUAUUGCACAAUGGGGGGAACCCUGAUGCAGCAACGCCGCGUGGAGGAUGACGCAUUUCGGUGUGUAAACUCCUUUUAUAUGUCAAGAAAAUGACGGUAGCAUAUGAAUAAGCACCGGCUAACUCCGUGCCAGCAGCCGCGGUAAUACGGAGGGUACAAGCGUUACUCGGAAUCACUGGGCGUAAAGGACGCGUAGGCGGGUUGGAAAGUCAGGUGUGAAAUCCUACAGCUUAACUGUAGAACUGCACUUGAAACUUCUAAUCUAGAGUAUGGGAGGGGGAGAUGGAAUUAGUGGUGUAGGGGUAAAAUCCGUAGAUAUCACUAGGAAUACCUAAAGCGAAGGCGAUCUCCUGGAACAUUACUGACGCUAAGGCGUGAAAGCGUGGGGAGCAAACAGGAUUAGAUCCCUCGUAGUC